rnacentral:rRNA from 1 species
GACGAACGCUGGCGGCGUGCUUAACACAUGCAAGUCGAACGGAAAGGCCCUGCUUUUGUGGGGUGCUCGAGUGGCGAAUGGGUGAGUAACACGUGAGUAACCUGCCCUUGACUUUGGGAUAACUUCAGGAAACUGGGGCUAAUACCGGAUAGGAGCUCCUGCUGCAUGGCGGGGGUUGGAAAGUUUCGGCGGUUGGGGAUGGACUCGCGGCUUAUCAGCUUGUUGGUGGGGUAGUGGCUUACCAAGGCUUUGACGGGUAGCCGGCCUGAGAGGGUGACCGGCCACAUUGGGACUGAGAUACGGCCCAGACUCCUACGGGAGGCAGCAGUGGGGAAUAUUGCACAAUGGGCGGAAGCCUGAUGCAGCAACGCCGCGUGCGGGAUGACGGCCUUCGGGUUGUAAACCGCUUUCGCCUGUGACGAAGCGUGAGUGACGGUAAUGGGUAAAGAAGCACCGGCUAACUACGUG